AGUCAGCCACAGGGGCACAGCUGAAGGCAAUUCACCUAUGCUGCCGGAAGGGGUGGAGCCUGGCUCCUAGACCUAUUUAAGAGCUGGCUACCAGGGGGGAAGGAUCUCUUCUGGAGAUUGCCUCUUCUGGUGUUUUGUGAGUGUGCCCAGGCUAGGGAGGAGUGUGGAGAUGUGGAGUUUUCCAGCCUUUCAUGGCAGGAAAGAGAGUUAUUUUUCAAGGAAGAUCUCUCAAGCCUUUUCUGUUGACAUGAUCCACUGAGCAUAGCAUCUCAUGCUUGGGAAAGUUACCUGCUCUACUUCUGCCCACAUUUCCAGUUUCCAGCAAGAAAGAGCGUGAGGAGUGUGUGCAAACACUUGUUCUCCACAUUAAGCCUGACUGAACGAUUUCUCUGCUAUUCUGAGCUUCUGGUGAACUGAAAAUUACCAGCUGUACUGAUUUGUGACAAACAGUGUGUGUAUGCAUACACAUGCGCAUGUAUGUACAUGUGUGUAUGUGCAGUCUGGAGAAGAAGAAACAAAGAGAUUAACAUCAUCAUAUGUGAUGAAAAUAAAUUCAUGUUUAUGAUCCAGUUACACGAAAUACAAAUGCAAGCAACAGCUUAUGGUUAAAAAGUAUUUAUUGGAGCCCUCACAUUGGCGUAUUAUGGACUGUAUGCUGAACAAGGAAUUCUCUAAUUCAUUUAUUUGCUGAGAUACUGUAAACGAAUAGGGAAUCAAAUACAUAAGUACAGUCGUCAUUGCUCAAAUUUGGAAAAGAAAAUGAGCUUGGGUUAGGGAAGAAUACAGCUAUGCUACUUGCACUUAAUAUCACAGGAUGGCUGACCCACUCUAGCUGUGUUCAGAGUUAUCAAUAACAAGAUAAUCUUGUAAUAUUUUGCUUAAUAAAUGUAAUAAUGCUUAACACACACACACACAAAAGAUUAGAAGAAAUCAAGUUAUCCAGGCUCAACAAGCUAACACUCCUCAGCUGAUUUGCAGUGACAAAUGGUAACUCAUUAAACUACAUAACAUAUUUGCCACCCUUUGAAGUCUAUGCUCUUAAAAGUAAAAUGGUAACAACCAAAGCUUUUUUAAAAUCAGUGUUAUGUCACCCCUUGCAUGUCAAAAUAAACCACAGUACCUAUAAAAAACAUGUGGUAGCAACUCAAAUCCCUAAAUCCUUGCCAAAAGUUGACUUCAAUAGCUGUCUACAGAGUCUGCCAGAAUAUUGUCAGCCAACUCAUACCAUGUGUGCCUUGUAGGGUAGUGGCUUCAAAAGGACAUCAGAUUUGCCAAAAUCUCUCCAUCUUUCAGACGUAAUCUUUGCCAUCACUCAUGAAAUGUAGUGACAUCUAACAGGAAGGAAAUACAUGAUGGUCAUCA